ACAGGUCUUUGUAGGAUUAAGGUUUUUAUAAUAUUGUUUCAGUGUUAUGCAAAAUCAGUGGAUUAUACUCAAAGUGUGUUGAUUGCAAUCUGACAGCUUCAAGUAUAAGUUUAAAAUCAGGAGGUCCAGGGUUGGCAUCUGAUGAACAAAGAACAGAAUCUUCUCCGUACUUUACAUUUAAAGUGGAUUUGGAUGCAACCAGUGACGUGCUUUUCACUGCAAACUGAGCAUCAAGUGAGGGUUUGGUUGAUCUCCAUCUCCAAAUAUGUGCAUCCGGGUAUGAGCUUGUUAUUCCAUAGUUAUCGGCUCCCGGAAAGUAAAUAUGCCAGUUGUUGUAUUUAUCAUUAACAAUGAAUGGACCUAAGUAUAACACAUUUUUAUAAAUGUUGUAAUUAGAGAUAU